rnacentral:rRNA from 1 species
GACGAACGCUGGCGGCGUGCCUAAUACAUGCAAGUCGAACGCAGUGGGGACGGGUGAGUAACACGUGGGUAACCUCCCAUCAGAGGGGAUAACACUUGGAAACAGGUGCUAAACCGAUACUGAUGGAUGGACCCGCGGUGCAUUAGCUAGUUGGUGAGGUAACGGCCCACCAAGGGCACGAUGCAUAGCCGACCCGCGAGGGUGAUCGGCCACACUGGGACUGAGACACGGCCCAGACUCCUACGGGAGGAAGCCGUAGGGAAUCUUCCGCAAUUGGCGAAAGUCCUACCCAGCCACGCCGCGUGUGUGAAGAAGGCUUUCGGAUUGUAAAACUCUUUUUUUAGGGAAGCGGUAUCUAACCAGAAAGCCACGGCUAACUACGUGCCAGCAGCCGCGGUAAUUC